CUGGGAUGAUGGAAUCAUGUGCGAUAGCCUCUGGGUCUCCUGCUCAACUGACUAUCUUUUAUGGUGGCACAGUGAAUGUGUAUGAUGAUAUAUCACCUGAGAAGGUACAGGCUAUCAUGUUCUUGGCUGGGCAGGAUUCUUCUAUCUCCUCUAACAUGGCACUGCCAAAAAUUCAAGUCCAUGCACCAAGCUCAAAACCAAUAGCAACUGAUGUCAAUCCUGUGAACCACAAUGUA
rnacentral:misc_RNA from 1 species